rnacentral:rRNA from 1 species
GAUGAACGCUAGCUACAGGCUUAACACAUGCAAGUCGAGGGGAAACGACAUCGAAAGCUUGCUUUUGAUGGGCGUCGACCGGCGCACGGGUGAGUAACGCGUAUCCAACCUGCCCACCACUUGGGGAUAACCUUGCGAAAGUAAGACUAAUACCCAAUGAUAUCUCUAGAAGGCAUCAGAAAGAGAUUAAAGAUUUAUCGGUGACGGAUGGGGAUGCGUAUGAUUAGCUUGUUGGCGGGGGAACGGCCCAACAAGGCUACGAUCAGUAGGGGUUCUGAGAGGAAGGUCCCCCACAUUGGAACUGAGACAUGGUCCAAACUCCUACGGGAGGCAGCAGUGAGGAAUAUUGGUCAAUGGACGAGAGUCUGAACCAGCCAAGUAGCGUGCAGGAUGACGGCCCUAUGGGUUGUAAACUGCUUUUAUAAGGGAAUAAAGUGAGUCUCGUGAGACUUUUUGCAUGUACCUUAUGAAUAAGGACCGGCUAAUUCCGUGCCAGCCGCCGCGGUAA